rnacentral:rRNA from 1 species
GGAAAAUGAACCAAAUGGGAUUCCUUAAGUAAUUGCGAAUGAACAAGGAAAUGCUCAGCUUGAAAAAUGGGGCCUUCGGCUUUGAAUUGUAAUUUUGAAAUGUAUUGCCAAUGGAGGCGCAGGUGCAAGCCUAUUGAAAGAAAGCGUCAAUGAGGGUGAGAUUCCUUUUUGUCAUUUGCAGUCCUCCGUGCACGGUAUAUAUUUGACGAGUCACACUCCUCGGCAUUGGAAUGCAAAGUGGGUGGUAAAUUCCAUGUAAAGGUAAAUAUAUUAUUGAGACUGAUAGCAAACAAGUACCAUGAGGGAAAUAUGAAAAGGACUUUGAAAAGAGAAUUAAAAGAGUCUGCAUUUGCUGAACAGAAAGCAAACAGAAUUGAUCUUGCCUGGUGAGAUUGUUGCCGUCUACUUNUGCAUUUCUAUGUUGGAUGUGGGUGCGAUGGUUCUUGCCUUGAAUGUCACCUUCUUUUUCUGCAAAUCAUUACCCUUGCACAUGAAUGGUAAUUUGCCUGCGGGUAUUGGAAUGCAUGUGUUUGCCAUGAUUUGUAAUUUGAUACAUGUGUCUGGUGGUACUUGUGUGUGUUCCUUUGUCAAAGGGGAAGGUUUGCUUCCUUGAGCACCACAAGCCCUUGCNC